GGGCUUGUAGCUCAGUGGUAGAGCAUUCGACUGCAGAUCGGAAUGUCCCGGGUUCAAAUCUCGGCGAGCCCU
rfam:Nematocida sp. 1 ERTm2 unplaced genomic scaffold supercont1.1, whole genome shotgun sequence.